GAUGAACGCUGGCGGCGUGCCUAAUACAUGCCAGUCGAGCGAACAGACGAGGAGCUUGCUCCUCUGACGUUAGCGGCGGACGGGUGAGUAACACGUGGAUAACCUACCUAUAAGACUGGGAUAACUUCGGGAAACCGGAGCUAAUACCGUAUAAUAUAUUGAACCGCAUGGUUCAAUAGUGAAAGACGGUUUUGCUGUCACUUAUCGAUGGAUCCGCGCCGCAUUAGCUAGUUGGUAGGGUAACGGCUUACCAAGGCAACGAUGCGUAGCCGACCUGAGAGGGUGAUCGGCCACACUGGAACUGAGACACGGUCCAGACUCCUACGGGAGGCAGCAGUAGGGAAUCUUCCGCAAUGGGCGAAAGCCUGACGGAGCACCGCCGCGUGAGUGAUGAAGGUCUUCGGAUCGUAAAACUCUGUUAUUAGGGAAGAACAAAUGUGUAAGUAACUAUGCACGUCUUGACGGUACCUAAUCAGAAAGCCACGGCUAACUACGUG
rnacentral:rRNA from 1 species